rnacentral:rRNA from 1 species
AUUGAACGCUGGCGGCAGGCCUAACACAUGCAAGUCGAACGGUAACAGGAAACAGCUUGCUGUUUCGCUGACGAGUGGCGGACGGGUGAGUAAUGUCUGGGAAACUGCCUGAUGGAGGGGGAUAACUACUGGAAACGGUAGCUAAUACCGCAUAACGUCGCAAGACCAAAGAGGGGGACCCUCGGGCCUCUUGCCAUCGGAUGUGCCCAGAUGGGAUUAGCUUGUUGGUGGGGUAACGGCUCACCAAGGCGACGAUCCCUUGCUGGUCUGAGAGGAUGACCAGCCACACUGGAACUGAGACACGGUCCAGACUCCUACGGGAGGCAGCAGUGGGGAAUAUUGCACAAUGGGCGCAAGCCUGAUGCAGCCAUGCCGCGUGUAUGAAGAAGGCCUUCGGGUUGUAAAGUACUUUCAGCGGGGAGGAAGGGAGUAAAGUUAAUACCUGUGCUCAUUGACGUUACCCGCAGAAGAAGCACCGGCUAACUCCGU